GUCUAUGGCCAUGCCACUCUGAACAAGCCCAAUCCUGGAAGCUAAGCAGGGUCAGGCCUGGUUAGUACUUGGAUGGGAGACUACCUAGAAAGGCCAAGUGAUGUAGGAG
rnacentral:rRNA from 1 species